GGCUGCGAUGCUGUUCCCGGAGUGGCUCUGGAAACCCACCAUGACCUUGUGUACCCAGAGGAACGUUUGGGCCAACCAACACUGCUUUCUCAAAAUGUACCUGGAUUAUUUGAUUUGUAUACACUUUGCAUUGGCUCCAUAAAUGUAUGCUGCUUAGGAUGCUGGAAACAAAAAGUUAUGUCACCCUGCUUUGGAGCCAGCUGAUUGUAGACUGAAACCUCCACAAACUGUGAGCUAAAAAGAAAGAAAGUAAAGCCAACAGGACCUUCUGACAUCCCCUCCCCUCUUCCUACUGUGUUGGGAGCCACUGAAACUGGAAAUUGACCACAUGUGCAAGGCUGGAGCAUGACCAUCCCAAGAACAAAGAGCGCCCAGGGCAAGCCAUGUGAAGAAGCUGCUUCAGCCCAGAAAACACCCAGCUGGUGCUGAGAUCCUGGAGUUGAGUACACCUCUAGUUUCUGUGAUUUCUUACUGAGAGCUGCAAAGGAUCCUCAGACACCCUUAAGCAUCGCAAUGGAGCAGCCGUGAACCACUGCCAGUCCUCCAUGCAAUUUUGCCUUGUAGCCAAAUGAGUAUGAACUGAAAUCUCCAAACUAUAAGAAAUAAUCCUUCUUGGGUCGGGUCCAGAAGAACAUGGCAGAUGGAUAGCAGCAGCCUCUGAGGCUCUCUGAGAAACUGCACUUGAAAUCUAGGAAUGGUGCUGGGCAGGAAGUCCCAGGCAAGAGGGGAUAUUCUUUGCUGACCCAGGAAUGAACUAAAUUAAGAGAAACCAUCUGGAAAUGCAAUCCCGGUGAUACAGCAGGUACAGAUAAGGACUCAGCACGGAAGCCAGACCCGUGCCACUGGAAACUUCGAUUUGAAUUACCUGCAGCCGCUGUUGCGUCCCAGUCGGCACAGCAGGGAGAGAGGUGCAAAAGCUUGGAGAGUGGGAAGCAUUGAAAGGAGUUGGGAGUGGGACUGGCUGGGUGCCCUGCAUCAACCAGCAGUGAGUGAGCAGAUCAGGACCCUUCCAUAGAGAAGGAGGCUUCAACAGAGGACAUACUCAGACCGGGCAGACUUCCCAGAACAAGAUGCUGCAGUGACUUCAGUCACAUAUCCCCCUCUCAAGUGGGAUUGGUGGGGAGUGCCUGGCCUACGAGACGCCGCUGGCUGAGACCCAAUAGGCUAGCCCAACUCAGGUCCCAGCGCCUGGAGGUGCACCCUAGUGGUGAAGCCUUCAUAGGUUGACCUGGAGGGGCAGGCCUGGCAUAGACUGCCCAGGUCUGUGUCUCCCUGCUGCCACUGCGGUGGGUGGGAACACCUAGCCAGCGCAAUUCAAACAGACUGUGACCAACAGGGAAGGAAGCUGGGCCUCCUAUACAUGUUUAACUAUAAGAAACAAAGAAUAUGGGAAGAGGGAGCAACAAGAAACGGUCCUCAGGCCCCAAUCCUGAGAAACAUGCAAUAGCAGACAUGGCACCAAUAGACAUAAAACGCUAUCUCCAGAGCCUCAUAGACGAGUUCAGGAAUGAAGUUAUUAAUGACCUGAAGCAAGACAUAAGCAGAAUAGUUAGAGAAAUGCUAAGCAUUGCCCAAGAAAAAACAGAUGGUGGAACGGAAGAACAGAAAAAAAGGGGAGAAUUGUUUGAUGGAGAAGAUAGAGAAAACAUAGAAUACAUAAAGCAGGUUCAAAGAGAUUACCAGGAAAUUAAAAACUCUAUCGAAAACUGGCAUAACAGCUUGAAAGAAACUAAGGACAGAUUAUCUGAACUGGAGGGCAGAUUUGUAAUAUGGGAGCAUGAAAUGAAAAACUUCUUAAAAAUAACAACAACAACAAAAAAAAAAAAACCAAACAGCAACAAUACAAAAACUAGAAGAUGAUAAGAGGAUCUAUAACUUAAGAAUUAAGAACAUAAGAGAAGAAGUAGGGACACAAACAAAUGGACUACAAAAGCUUUUCACAGAAAUAAUCCAAGAGAAUUUCCCUAAUUUGGUAAAUGGUAAAGAUACUCAGAUAUAUGAGGCGUCAGGACUCCAGCCACCUCCAACCCAAAUAGAGCUAUACCCAGGCAUAUAAUAAUCAAAAUUCCAGAAAUCCAAUAUAAUAACAGAAUAUUAAAAGCCGUCAGAGACAAGAAACAGAUCACUUACAAUGGAACACCCAUCAGAAUUACAGCAGACUUCUCGGCACAAGCCAUCAAAUCAUGAAAAGCAUGGGGGGGGGGAAAUAAUUCAAGCUUUGAAAGAUAAUAACCUCCAGCCAAGAUUGAUAUAUCCUGCACAACUGUCGCUAGAAAUUGAUGGAAAAACAAGGUGCUUCCAGGAUAAAGAGGAACUAGGGGAAUUUGCAACCACUAAUUCAACUCUACAGAGAAUACUGCAGGAUAGUCUAAAAAAGGAAAACACCAAGAUUCUAGAAAGAGUGGCAGAGAGGCCACAAUGAAUGGAGCAGAAAACAAAAUGAAGAAGACAAACUGACAACAAAUGACAGAAAAACAGCUCAACAGAAAUGAGGCAGAGAAGAUCAGAAGGUAGGAACAGCAAUUUUGGAGAAAACAAAACAUCAUAAUAGCUAGUGCUGAUUUAGUAUCCUCUUGUUUUGAAGUCUCAUCAAACGUGUAUACUUUUGUCUCCAUUGGUCUUAAGAGGUUAUUGGAUUUUAUUAUAUAUGAUAAUAUAAGCAAAAACUUUUAUAGACAAGGAGUUUAUGUAGAAACCAUUGUUCAUCUUCUGUUAAUUGGUUCUGAAUACCCUGUAAUAAUGUCAUUCUCUUAAAUGGUUUUAUAGUGUCUUGAUAUGUUUGGUGCUACAGUAUAAGAAGUUAUACUCAAAGAUUUCAAGGAAAGAGACACUAUGGUAACUAUUUUUAUGUCAGGAUAUCUUGUGGUGAAACACUAUUUUGCUUAAAUGGUUAUGAUUUGACCUGCGCUGUUCUGUUGUUAUGCUCUCUUUUAUCUCAAUCCCCCUUUUUAAAAUUAUUUACUUUUUUAGUUAAGGGAAAAAUAAAUAAAAAAUAGCAGGAUACAUUAUAGUAACCUACUUCGAUUUCCUAUUAACUUCAUUUGAAAUCCUGUAUUGCCCUGACCAUCUUGUUUUGACUGAUUUUCUCUAUUCUGCUUUGCUUGAUAGUACCAAGUUGGAAAGUAUAGGCAUAACUGUGAAAACAAUAAGAAUCAUUAUGACGCCCAUUCUGGUUGACUAUUAUUUUCUUUUAAAAUCCCGUAAUGUCUCCAAUGCUUUGGUUUUAUUCUUUACUGUUUAGUUCAAUUUUAUUAUAACUGCCAAUUCUUCUUAAAAUAGCAAGAGGCAAUAUGGUAAUCAUUGUUGAUCACCUUAUAUUUUGUUUUUACAUUAUCUAUUAUGUCCAUCCUUUUGAUUUGACUGACUCUGUUCUGAUAUGUCGCAUUUGGUUUUACUCUCUUCAAAAAAAGUAAUAAGAACUGUGGGAGUAAUAAAACUCAAAAUGUGUAAUUGUCAUUGUACAAAAGAAAAGAAAGUGCUCUAAAGGUUAUAACUGCAUACAUGUUUAAGUGUAUAAGAUAGAUAACCAUAUUACUGAGUGUGUUUUGGAUCAUUGAACAAAACUGUUUGCACUCUCACUGUUUGAAAGUCCACUUUAUAUGCUUCAAUUUUGUAACUUGAACAACUAUUUCUAAGAUGAGAAUAUGUAAUCUAUUAACUAGUGAUUUCUUACUGCUUAUUUUUUAAAUUUUGUAUUACUUGUACCCUUUUUUGUUUUUUUUUUCCUUUUUAUCCUUAAAUUAAAAAAAAUUUCUUUCUUUCUUCUAUAUCCAUCUUAUUUUCUGAAAAGACUGUAGCAUCUUACAAUAGAUGAGGGAAAAAAUCCUGUUGAAACAAUAUUCGGUGAUUA